rnacentral:lncRNA from 1 species
GGCGCCUUGCAUAGUAAAGUUCCUAACUUUGGGCGAUGAUAUUGCAUAAAAAUUUUGGUAGAAAAUUUUUAAGACAAUUUUGAGGGGUAGCAUAGAUCUCGCUACGUUAUUAGCCCGGAACAAUCACAUAUCGCUCUCUUAGCCAGUUGCCCAGUUGAUAGAUCUCAGAAAUGGACUUGGCAGAUGACUGAAGUACAAGGAAGUUGAUCGGCAGGAACUUGGUCCGCCGACCUGGUGAGGAUCACGAGAAACAGCGGCUCGUUUAACCGCCUCUGGGGAUCCUGGGUUGGUGGCGCGUGUUGGCUCCGGCCCCCGGAUAGUCGUUCCUCUCCAAGUCCAUUCGCCGAGCUUCCUCUUCCUCCUGCGGCAAACGUCGUCGGAUCACAGCAUCCCCACACUCUUAUCUUAAACCGUGCUCUGAUAAAAGUAUUCCGCAUAGUUUUCGGCGUCUAAUCUCAUCAUGGAACUCCCCAAAAGUUCGGAUCGCAGUCAUCCACGACUGUUGAUCACAAAUAGAGAGAGAGAGAGAGAGAGAGAG